rnacentral:rRNA from 1 species
CCCUUAGACGUUCUGGGCCGCACGCGCGCUACACUGGCCGGUGCAACAAGCAUCCGUCCUUGGCCGACAGGCCCGGGCAAUCUUUGAACGCCGGUCGUGAUGGGGAUAGACUUUUGCAAUUUUUGGUCUUCAACGAGGAAUUCCUAGUAAACGCAAGUCAUCAACUUGCAUUGAUUACGUCCCUGCCCUUUGUACACACCGCCCGUCGCACCUACCGAUUGAAUGGUCCGGUGAAGCCUCCGGAUUGGCGCGCACCUCGGUGCCGCCGAGAAGUUGGCUAAACCUUACCAUUUAGAGGAAGGUGAAGUCGUAACA